GGGCGGAUUAGUGGCGAACGGGUGAGUAAUACGUGAGUAACCUGCCCUUGACUCUGGGAUAAGCCUGGGAAACUGGGUCUAAUACUGGAUACUACCUCUUGCCGCAUGGUGGGUGGUGGAAAGGGUUUUACUGGUUUUGGAUGGGCUCACGGCCUAUCAGCUUGUUGGUGGGGUAAUGGCUCACCAAGGCGACGACGGGUAGCCGGCCUGAGAGGGUGACCGGCCACACUGGGACUGAGACACGGCCCAGACUCCUACGGGAGGCAGCAGUGGGGAAUAUUGCACAAUGGGCGGAAGCCUGAUGCAGCGACGCCGCGUGAGGGAUGACGGCCUUCGGGUUGUAAACCUCUUUCAGUAGGGAAGAAGCGAGAGUGACGGUACCUGCAGAAGAAGCGCCGGCUAACUACGUGCCAGCAGCCGCGGUAAUACGUAGGGCGCAAGCGUUGUCCGGAAUUAUUGGGCGUAAAGAGCUCGUAGGCGGUUUGUCGCGUCUGCUGUGAAAGCCCGGGGCUCAACCCCGGGUCUGCAGUGGGUACGGGCAGACUAGAG
rnacentral:rRNA from 1 species